CAGCCGCCGCGGUAAUACGGAGGGUGCAAGCGUUAUCCGGAUUCACUGGGUUUAAAGGGUGCGUAGGCGGAUUAGAAAGUCCGUUGUGAAAUCUCCGAGCUUAACUCGGAAAUUGCGGUGGAUACUAUUAGUCUUGAAUACUGUGGAGGUUAGCGGAAUAUGUCAUGUAGCGGUGAAAUGCAUAGAUAUGACAUAGAACACCAAUUGCGAAGGCAGCUGGCUACACAGAUAUUGACGCUGAGGCACGAAAGCGUGGGGAUCAAACAGGAUUAGAUACCCCUGUAGUCCCUGUCUCUUAUAC
rnacentral:rRNA from 1 species